UGAUCACAUCAUGUUGAAACACCACUUCACGUAUGAUCACCAAAGUUAAGCAACAUCAAGCAUGGUCAGUAUCUAGAUGUCUGACCACUUGGGAAUACCAGGUGCUGUAGGC